AUACGGGGGGUGCAAGCGUUGUCCGGAAUCAUUGGGCGUAAAGGGUUCGUAGGUGGAAUUAUAAGUCUGGUGUGAAAGCCCACAGCUCAACUGUGGAACUGCACUGGAUACUGUUUUUCUUGAGUUAUAGAGGGGUUUGUGGAAUUUCUGGUGUAGAGGUGAAAUUUGUAGAGAUCAGAAAGAACACCGGUGGCGAAGGCGACAAACUGGCUAUUAACUGACACUGAGGAACGAAAGCGUGGGGAGCGAACAGAAUUAGAAACCCUAGUAGUCC
rnacentral:rRNA from 1 species